GCAAGUCGAGGGGCAGCGGGAUUGAAGCUUGCUUCAAUUGCCGGCGACCGGCGCACGGGUGAGUAACACGUAUCCAACCUUCCGUUUACUCGGGGAUAGCCUUUCGAAAGAAAGAUUAAUACCCGAUAGUAUGGUGAGAUUGCAUGAUAACACCAUUAAAGAUUCAUCGGUAAACGAUGGGGAUGCGUUCCAUUAGGUAGUAGGCGGGGUAACGGCCCACCUAGCCUACGAUGGAUAGGGGUUCUGAGAGGAAGGUCCCCCACAUUGGAACUGAGACACGGUCCAAACUCCUACGGGAGGCAGCAGUGAGGAAUAUUGGUCAAUGGGCGAGAGCCUGAACCAGCCAAGUAGCGUGAAGGAUGAAGGUCCUACGGAUUGUAAACUUCUUUUAUAAGGGAAUAAAACGCUCCACGUGUGGAGCCUUGUAUGUACCUUAUGAAUAAGCAUCGGCUAACUCCGUGCCAGCAGCCGCGGUAAUACGGAGGAUGCGAGCGUU
rnacentral:rRNA from 1 species